AUGUUCUCGGCCGUCUCCCUCUCCCGCGUCAACAACAUCCCCGCUGCCCUCACCAACGCUCAGAAGGGCACGCAAUCUACCUCGAUGUCCUUUGGUCACAUGCGUUCCCUCUCUGAUGAGCUUGCGGCGGCGGGCAAGCCUAUCGGGGAACCGGAACUGAUCUCCUUCAUUGUUGCCAGCCUCGACAUGGAAUACCAACCACUCAUCUCUGCCCUUGAUGUUCGCGUCGAGCCCAUUACUGUUGACCACCUCUUCUCUCUGGUCGCGAACUUUGAUCAGUGCCUCGAGAUGUAUCAUGGCAAUGGCGCUGGUGGCUUCAAGUCUUCAGCAAACGCUGCCUCCAGGGGCCGCCAGGGAGGCAAUAGGGGUGGCUACCGAUCUCAGAGAGGCGGGGGCAACAGCGGAUCACGCGGCGGUGGUGGCUACCCAGGUGGUGGCGGUGGCUAUCAAGGCGGCGGCGGCCAUCCUGGAGCUGGAGGUGGCGGCUAUGGUGGCGGCUAUCACCAGAACAAUGGUGGUGGUGGCUACCAAGGUAGUGGUGGCGGCGGCUACUAUCACCCCAGCAACAACAACAAUCAGCGACGUCCUUCCUCCAACAACAAUAGGGGACGAAAUUUCCAAGGUUAUGAAGGCUAUGAAGGAAAG
rnacentral:rRNA from 1 species